CACUGGUUUGGACUUCUUCCAACUAUUGCCAUCCGGUGUUUAAAUAUUUUAUACAAGGCAGUGAAAACAAUGACGGAUUUCAACAUGAUUUUAAUGGAUCCCAAAUUUACGACCAUGGAUAUAUACACUGAUCAUGAAGAAGAAUCUGAGUAUCCACUGGAAUUCUGAAAGAUAAGUUUUGGUUUGAAAGUUAGUUAGAACAGUUUUAUGCGAACUUUCUAAAAUUAAUAAUUAUUCAUGAAGAAGGAUCGUAUUUCUCCAUUUUAUUGACCUAUUUUUAUUUUUUUUGAAAUAUGUGAAAUAGAGCAUUGAAAACGCUCUGCUAAUUAAUACACUAGCAAUUUGUGGUUAAUUUAAAUGUAACUUUAUAACCAGUCCCUGUCCUAUUACUGCGCAUGACAGGAAGAGCUUUAUGAAAGCAUGGCUUUAUUUAUUUAUCUUUAUCUCAAUAUUAUUUAAACCCAUUUUAAAUUGUUUUAAUUGAAAUUAAAUCAAAUUAAAAAAAGAAAUUGCACACUUUCUUCCCUUUAUGUUUUGUGAAUUACAAUUACACAUGAUGAUAAACACAUCCAUGUACAUAUUCAUCCGCGAUCGAAAUAACGUACUAUUGAAAUAAAUUAUUUGAACUCGUGAUUCGGUUUUUUUCUACAUUAAUUUUAUGAAGCAUUCAAAACUAAUGUAAAGUUAGACAGAGUUUACAAUUUGACAUCCCUCGAUUGGACUCACUUUCUGUUGUGUACCUUCUUCUUCCGUCUCACCUUACUAAAGAAAGCCGCCAUCUUCAUUAUCAUUAUCAUCAUGGAAAAGACAUAUUUGCAAAAUACCAGACCUCAAACCUUACAAGAAGAAAAUGAUCAGCUUAAAAAUACGGUAAAUUGUGUUCUGUGCAAAGAACACACCAGAGCAUGCCAUUUUCUACCCUGUGGCGAUCUAUUAUAUUGCUGGCAUUGUGGUGCAAGUUUUGAAAAGUGUAGCUAUUGUGGAGCAGAAAUACAGGGUCGUCUUCGUGUGCACAUGACCAGUUUACCACUUUGAGUCUGUAUGUGGAAGGGGGAUGACGAAGGACUUGUAUGGUCAUGAAGAUAUCUGUAAAAUGGACUUUCAUGUGGACUGAUUGUCAAAUAAAUGAAAUAUAAAGUGUG